GGAGCUGUAGGAGGAAGCCGCACUAUUGGAGGAAUUGAGCAGUACAAACUAUUUCAGGCGCAAGGAAGGAGGCCCUGAGUUGCCAGAACCAACAUCCUGGAUAUUUUUGCAGCUUUGGACCAAGACAUCAACAUCUUGAGAGCCACCCUAGAGCACCCCAACACUAGGAGAUCUACUGAGAUGCCACCUGUGGGCAAGAGACACAGUAAUGCUUAAUGUGAUAUUCCAU